rnacentral:rRNA from 1 species
UACGUAGGGGGCAAGCGUUGUCCGGAUUUAUUGGGCGUAAAGAGCGUGUAGGCGGCCAUGUAGGUCCGUUGUGAAAACUCGAGGCUCAACCUCGAGACGCCGAUGGAAACCAUGUGGCUAGAGUCCGGAAGAGGAGAGUGGAAUUCCUGGUGUAGCGGUGAAAUGCGCAGAUAUCAGGAAGAACACCCGUGGCUAAGGCGGCUCUCUAGUACGGUACUGACGCUGAGACGCGAAAGCCAGGGGAGCAAACGGG